GUGAGGAAUAUUGCGCAAUGGGGGCAACCCUGACGCAGCGAUGCCGCGUGGGUGAAGAAGGCCUUCGGGUCGUAAAGCCCUGUCAAGCGGGAAGAAUGGCCUUGAGACGAAUAAUCUUGAGGAUUGACGGUACCGCUGAAGGAAGCACCGGCUAACUCCGUGCCAGCAGCCGCGGUAAGACGGAGGGUGCGAGCGUUAUUCGGAAUUAUUGGGCGUAAAGGGCGUGCAGGCGGCCGAUCAAGCCAGAGGUGAAAGCCCGGGGCUUAACCUCGGAAGUGCCUUUGGAACUGGCCGGCUUGAGUUCGGGAGAGGAAAGCGGAAUUCCGGGUGUAGAGGUGAAAUUCGUAGAUAUCCGGAGGAACACCGGUGGCGAAGGCGGCUUUCUGGACCGAAACUGACGCUGAGACGCGAAAGCGUGGGGAGCAAACAGGAUUAGAUACCCCGGUAGUCC
rnacentral:rRNA from 1 species